UUCCAGACUCCUACGGGAGGCAGCAGUGGGGAAUAUUGCACAAUGGGGGAAACCCUGAUGCAGCGACGCCGCGUGAGCGAUGAAGUAUUUCGGUAUGUAAAGCUCUAUCAGCAGGGAAGAAAAUGACGGUACCUGACUAAGAAGCCCCGGCUAACUACGUGCCAGCAGCCGCGGUAAUACGUAGGGGGCAAGCGUUAUCCGGAUUUACUGGGUGUAAAGGGAGCGUAGACGGCUGUGCAAGCCAGAUGUGAAAGCCCGGGGCUCAACCCCGGGACUGCAUUUGGAACUGUGUGGCUGGAGUGUCGGAGAGGCAGGCGGAAUUCCUAGUGUAGUGGUGAAAUGCGUAGAUAUUAGGAGGAACACCAGUGGCGAAGGCGGCCUGCUGGACGAUGACUGACGUUGAGGCUCGAAAGCGUGGGGAGCAAACAGGAUUAGAUACCCGGGUA
rnacentral:rRNA from 1 species